GAUGAAGAACGUAGCGAAAUGCGAUAAGUAGUGUGAAUUGCAGAAUUCAGUGAAUCAUCGAAUCUUUGAACGCACAUUGCGCCCCUUGGUAUUCCAUGGGGCAUGCCUGUUCGAGCGUCAUUUGUACCUUCAAGCUUUGCUUGGUGUUGGGUGUUUGUCUCGCCUCUGCGUGUAGACUCGCCUUAAAACAAUUGGCAGCCGGCGUAUUGAUUUCGGAGCGCAGUACAUCUCGCGCUUUGCACUCAUAACGACGACGUCCAAAAGUACAUUUUUACACCCUUGACCUCGGAUCAGGUAGGGAUACCCGCUGAACUUAAGCAUAUCAAUAAGCGGAGGA
rnacentral:misc_RNA from 1 species